rnacentral:rRNA from 1 species
UGGGGAAUAUUGUACAAUGGACGGAAGUCUGAUGCAGCAACGCCGCGUGCGGGAUGACGGCCUUCGGGUUGUAAACCGCUUUUUCUCAUGACGAAGUUUUUUGACGGUAGUGGGGGAAGAAGCACCGGCUAACUACGUGCCAGCAGCCGCGGUGAUACGUAGGGUGCGAGCGUUGUCCGGAAUUAUUGGGCGUAAAGAGCUUGUAGGCGGUUUGUCGCGUCGAUAGUGCAAACUCAGUGCUUAACGCUGAGCCUGCUGUUGAUACGGGCAGACUAGAGGAAGGUAGGGGAGAAUGGAAUUCCCGGUGGAGCGGUGGAAUGCGCAGAUAUCGGGAGGAACACCGGUGGCGAAGGCGGUUCUCUGGGCCUUUCCUGACGCUGAGAAGCGAAAGCGUGGGGAGCGAACAGG